GUCUUCGUGGUGUAGUGGUCAGCACGCUCGACGCAUAACCGAGAGAUUCCGGUUACUGUGGUUCGAUUCCCGGCGAAGGCG
rnacentral:tRNA from 1 species